rnacentral:sRNA from 1 species
AUUUGACUGGGCUAAUGAAACUGACUUUUCCAGGGAAAAGAUAUCCAUAAAUUUGAUAAUUAGCUAUCGAUAAAUUAUUUUAAUUUGGGAAAGUAGGUGACUGAUGAAAUGUCAACAUUAUGAACUCUUACACCUACUUAUUCAAAUGACAACCUUUCAGUUUUGUGUUACAAAAAGGAGAAAUCCAGUAUUUAAUAUAAUGAUAAUAUUGGAAAAGAAAGUCAGUUUUCUCCCUGGUGAUAUUUAUCCCUGAAGACAAUAGUAGAGAGGCAUGCGGUCAUCCUUGUGUGUUUAAAUAUUUAGAAUGCUGACAUGUCAAACAGUUCCAUGGGCUUUUUUCAUGAGUAACUAGUAGGAAAUAUUACAUAACUCAAAUUAUUUAGUCAAGAAAAGAAAAAUUAAACAAAGGACAUAAUAAACUUAUUAAAGGUCUUAAUGAAUAUGAAUAUUAAUAGUAUUUCUCUGUUUUUUAAGAAGAAAAUAAAAAGAAAAGGUCUAAACCAGUAGGCCAUUAAUCUGUCCUUUUUAUUCAAAGAUUCGGCAACACACCAGUGCAA